CGGGAGGCAGCAGUGGGGAAUAUUGCACAAUGGGCGCAAGCCUGAUGCAGCCAUGCCGCGUGUAUGAAGAAGGCCUUCGGGUUGUAAAGUACUUUCAGUCGUGAGGAAGGUAGUGUAGUUAAUAGCUGCAUUAUUUGACGUUAGCGACAGAAGAAGCACCGGCUAACUCCGUGCCAGCAGCCGCGGUAAUACGGAGGGUGC
rnacentral:rRNA from 1 species